rnacentral:tRNA from 12 species
AGGGAUAGCUCAGCCAGUAGACAGUUGGCUUUGUGAUCUAAAGGUUGCAGGUUCA